rnacentral:rRNA from 1 species
UCCACACCGUAAACGAUGGGUAUUGGAUGUCGGGUCUUGAGGCUCGGUGUUGUAGCUAACGUGUUAAAUACCCCGCCUGGGUAGUACGUAUGCAAAUAUGAAACUCAAAGGAAUUGACGGGGACCUGAACAAGUGGUGGAACAUGUUGCUUAAUUCGAUAAUACACGAAAAACCUUACCAAGGUUUGACAUCCCUCGCAAAGCCAUAGAAAUAUGGUGGAGGUUAUCGAGGUGACAGGUGGUGCAUGGUUGUCGUCAGCUCGUGUCAUGAGAUGUUUGGUUAAGUCCCGCAACGAGCGCAACCCUGCUCUUUAGUUAACUAUCUAAAGAGACUGAACAGUAAUGUAUAGGAAGGUUGGGAUCACGUCAAAUCAUCAUGCCCCUUAUGCCUUGGGCCGCAAACGUGUUACAAUGGCGAGCACAAAGUGUCGCAAUCUAGCGAUAGUGAGCUAAUCAUUAAAACUCGUCCCAGUUCGGAUAAAAGGCUGCAAUUCGCCUUUUUGAAGUUG